GCUGGGUGUGGAGGCGCACACCUGUAAUCCCAGCUACUCAGGAGGCUGAGGCAGGAGAAUUGCUUGAACCCAGGAGGCGGAGGUUGCAGUGAGCCAAGAUCGUGCCACUGCACUCCAGCCUGGGUGACAGAGUGAGACUCUGUCUCUU
rnacentral:SRP_RNA from 1 species